rnacentral:rRNA from 1 species
CAGCCGCCGCGGUAAUACGUAGGGUGCGAGCGUUGUCCGGAUUUAUUGGGCGUAAAGAGCUCGUAGGCGGCUUGUCGCGUCGGAUGUGAAAGCCCGGGGCUUAACUCCGGGUCUGCAUUCGAUACGGGCAGGCUAGAGUGUGGUAGGGGAGAUCGGAAUUCCUGGUGUAGCGGUGAAAUGCGCAGAUAUCAGGAGGAACACCGGUGGCGAAGGCGGAUCUCUGGGCCAUUACUGACGCUGAGGAGCGAAAGCGUGGGGAGCGAACAGGAUUAGAUACCCGCGUAGUCCCUGUCUCUUAUAC